rnacentral:misc_RNA from 1 species
AUUUAAGCCCUUUCACCUUCUCCCUUCUUGUUUUUCCUUUUGUUUUCGAGCACCCAUCUGAACUAUUCCUUCGUGGUUGAGAUAGAAACAGUUUCAUCGUUAAUGUUUAACAUAUACAAGUCAGUUUCAUUUCUUGGUGCAAAUGAUUUGAUCAUGGUUUCAACUUUGCAAAAAAAAAGAAGAAGGGAGAAGGUGAAAGGGCUUAAAU